UUAUGGUUAAAUCAGCAAGAAUAAAAAUGCAGCAAAAAUGACACCAAGAUUUUACGCGGAAACCCUUUUGAAUAAGGGAAAAAAUCACGGCCAAGAAGUGCAACUGAUAUCACUGUAGCGAAGAAUUUUACACUGUGUAGUAACAAGUACAAAUACUCCUAAGACCACUACACCCUCAAAAGAAAAAAUACUCUUUUGCUUUUUCCACCUCACUACAAUAUCUCUCACACUCUAUUUUUCUUCACAGACUAUUUUCUUAUAGUCUAUGGAAUACUUUGCUCUCUAUCUUUCACUCAGAUGUCACGCCUACUACAUUUUACAUUUUUCUCUCUUGCAGAUUUGCUAUGCCUACCAAUCUUGACGUUUUUUCUUAUGCAACCUACCAUAUUUGAUAGUGCAAAAGAAAAGAUGGUGGCUUCCAAUCAAAGGAAGAAAAUUAUCUUCCUUGAUUUAUGGGAUGGACCCCACAUCAUUCAGUGCCAUUUGAUUGGUUUUCCUCUAUUGUACUUCUUUCUUCAUUUUAUUUUUCUAUGAUGUCGUCUCAUCUCUACCCUGUAAAAUGGUAAGGUUCCUCGUAGCCUUCAAUAACCCGUCUCGAAGAUGUAAAGAUGAAUGGCUGAAUUUGACAACCUUAAAUAAUGUUAUUUGCUCCAGAGCGAUCUUGAGGAACUUUUUAGUAAAAAGUUAAUCCAUUUUGAAGCAUUAUGCUUAACUUUGAAGUCUUAUUUAGUUUAGUUCAUUUGAUUUGUUAUUUUCUUUCAAAUUCAUCUUUUCUCCUCUUUUUCUCUAUUUGGAUUUUUUGAGCAUCUGUUUUUGUAAUUUUGCAGAACUCAUGCAGAUAGAAUACUGUGAAACUGCCUUCAUUCAUCUUCUAGGGCCGUUACAGUUUUUAAAAAUCUUCUUUUGCUAGGCAGUUUAUUUCCCAACUGGUUAUAGAAACUUCUGCACCAGAAAAAAGUUUGAGCCUGAAUACCAUUGUGAUGCUUCUAAGUAAUGCCUUUUGGAUACAUCCAGUAAUUUAUGGUUUGAAACUAUUAACAUACUCAGGGCUUGUAUACUCUUAAUGGAAAUAACUUAUGAUCUUCUCUUGCUUGUAUUCGACAUAUAUUACUAUUCUCCCAAUGAUGCUUUUUAUCUUGCAUGUUGCUAAUUCUUUUAUUCCUAGCUAUUGACACCAGGUAACUAUAACAUGGCUAUCUUAGACACAAAAAAAAUGGUAGCAGCUGAGGUUAGUAUAAUGGGUGUGUUGAAUCUUAUUGUCCAACAAUAUAGAGAUAUUUCAGUCCUUGAUAUUCUUGACUUAUUUGCGGUAAACUUCAAAAUGUUUCAAGAAACUUGACAAAUUUCCUUCUACUUUGUUCCCAGUAUCGUAAUAAUGAAACUUGUAAAAUGGCGUAAAAUGGUAACAUUAGCGUUUCUUGGUGCAGUAGAAAUUUAUGUUCUGCCCGGCCAGUUUCGUCUUUAAAUAAAUUUGUCUCUAGAGAUAUUGUUUGUUUUUAUUCAUUGUUUUAGCUUGAUCUCAAAGUAAAAGCUCUUGGCAGGUGGAUCAUUAUGGAUUAGAUUCUUGGUUACUUGUGACCAAAAGAGUUUCUAUGCUACUGUUUGGGAUAUUUUUUUAACUUAACAAUUAAUGAAACUAGAAGCAUCUCACUUGGAUUAGCAAUAACAUAAGGCCUUCAUGUUUUUGUAUUUCGUCAUUAGAAAAUAUCUGCUAACUUCGUGGUAUAACAAUAUAAAUAUAUUUUUUUAUGCUGGGAAGCAAAGUAUUUAUAUAUUCUAAAACUUAACUGAUUUUUCCUAUUGAUAACCAUAUCUGGAACUUACUAUUGGAUAUGUAGGUGAUUUUUCACUUUAAUUUGUAGUUCAGUAAAUUCAUUUUAUGUUUAGUUUGAUUAAUAGUUCAUGCUUUAAAGCUCUUUGGAGAUGACUGACGCCUUAUGCUUUUAAGUUCUACUAUUUGAUGUAGUAGCAUCUUUAGGUCUUCCCAAUGGAACAAGAAGUACAAUGAAGCUACACCUAUGCCCAAUGGAGAAGUCAUACAUUUGUUGUUGCAAAUUUAUGCAAAAUAUGUUCUUAUUUUACAUAUCAAUCUCCAAAAAUAACUUAGAAUUGAAUCAUUUCCAAUGACUAGGAAACAUCAGAUGUUAAAUUCUAUAUUAUGGUCACAUAAGUGCCUCAAUUGCAAGGCCUGCAACUGAAGACAGACAAGAGUAAUCCAAAAUUCAUGCUCAUUUAGAAUUGAGGAAAUGUUCUCAUGAGGUUCUUAGUAGAAACAUAAUUCAGUUUUACUCUGUUGUUGUGAAAUGUCAAGCGUGAAACUUGUCGUAGACGUUCAACACUACAUCAUCCAGAAUAUGUUUUCUCCCCCUCUAAUAUUUAUCGCCAGGAAGCACAAGGAAGUGCAUCAGUACAAAGAAUUGGACGAAGACCUAGAUAGCCAUACCAUUUAGUAGUAUUUUGUUGGGUUUACGGAAAGGGAAUGUAGUUGACUGUAUUAAGAUGUGUUAUGUUCACAUUUUUUUGCAUAAAGAAUUAUUUGAGCUCUUUGAAAGUAGAGCUUGUUUUC